CAGGGACAUGGUGGUGCAGUUCACAGGAGGGGAGUGCUGUCAUGGAUGAAGAAUGAGUCAAGAGCUUAUGGGCCUGAUCCUAACUCCAUGAUGUUAAAAUGCUUGACAGCACCAAAUGCGAGCUUUGCCAUCUUCAUUGCUCAGGUUCACAGAAAUUAUUUUUCCCAGGACUUACACCUACGGUCUUCACUGUUUCCUUGAGGCUGCCGUGAGGUCUCACCCCCUGGAGGGGUUUGUCAGCCAGGUCCAACAGCUGAAGGCUCAUCAAAACAAACAAACACAUUCUAACUACAUCUCCAGCCAGUGCCUUGCUGCCUGCUCCUGCAAGGUGGAGUGGCCACUGGCAGGACACCGGGCCAAGAGGUGAAGCACUUCUCCAGGACCUUGCCCACACAUUGGGGUGGGGCCCUUGCCCUCCUCUCUCUGGCCCAUCACGUGGCUUCUGAGCUCCCAGGGAGGUAUUUGUAGCUCGU